GACGAACCGUGCGAACGUUGUUCGGAAUCACUGGGCUUAAAGGGCGCGUAGGCGGGGUGGACAGUCUAUGGUGAAAUCCUCCGGCUCAACCGGAGAACUGCCGUGGAUACUGCCACUCUCGAGGGGUGUAGGGGCAUGCGGAACUUCGGGUGGAGCGGUGAAAUGCGUAGAUAUCCGAAGGAACGCCGGUGGCGAAAGCGGCGUGCUGGACACCUUCUGACGCUGAGGCGCGAAAGCUAGGGGAGCAUACGGG
rnacentral:rRNA from 1 species